rnacentral:rRNA from 1 species
UACGUAGGGUGCAAGCGUUAAUCGGAAUUACUGGGCGUAAAGCGUGCGCAGGCGGUGAUGUAAGACAGGUGUGAAAUCCCCGGGCUUAACCUGGGAACUGCAUUUGUGACUGCAUCGCUGGAGUGCGGCAGAGGGGGAUGGAAUUCCGCGUGUAGCAGUGAAAUGCGUAGAUAUGCGGAGGAACACCGAUGGCGAAGGCAAUCCCCGUGGGCCUGCACUGACGCUCAUGCACGAAAGCGUGGGGAGCAAACAGG